AGCGAACGCUGGCGGCAGGCCUAACACAUGCAAGUCGAACGGAUCCUUCGGGAUUAGUGGCGGACGGGUGAGUAACACGUGGGAACGUGCCCUUUGGUUCGGAACAACUCAGGGAAACCUGAGCUAAUACCGGAUGUGCCCUUCGGGGGAAAGAUUUAUCGCCAUUGGAGCGGCCCGCGUCUGGUUAGCUAGUUGGUGAGGUAAAGGCUCACCAAGGCGACGAUCAGUAGCUGGUCUGAGAGGAUGAUCAGCCACAUUGGGACUGAGACACGGCCCAAACUCCUACGGGAGGCAGCAGUGGGGAAUCUUGCGCAAUGGGCGAAAGCCUGACGCAGCCAUGCCGCGUGAAUGAUGAAGGUCUUAGGAUUGUAAAAUUCUUUCACCGGGGACGAUAAUGACGGUACCCGGAGAAGAAGCCCCGGCUAACUUCGUGCCAGCAGCCGCCGUAA
rnacentral:rRNA from 1 species